ensembl:lncRNA
GUUUAGGGUGCUAAUUAUUUCAUCCAGAAAACCCUACAAUUAUUGUCAGCUUUCAGUGUAGUCAGAAUAUUCCUAUAGGUUAUGGGAUACAAUUCAGGAUUUAACUAAUGUUUCUGCUAUUUUCUCACUUUUCCUUUUGAUGGUGCGGAAAGAGAAAAGGAAAACGGGGCACAGGCCAUUCGCCGCCUUCUCCAGGGGUCUGAUUUGCUGAGACACCAGCUCCACCUUCCUAACAAGGUGCAGCUCAGUGGAAGAUGAUGACAACCAGAAGACAUGAGCUAAGAAUCGGGGGCCAGCUACAGAGCACACACAGUUUAGACUACCUGUGGGUAGACUAUUCUCAGAGGUCAUCAGAAAUUAAGGUAUUUUAGGGUUUGAGCAGGUUUAGUAUCUUAGCAUAAACCACAC